AGCAGUGGAAGAAAAUGUAUGACAACUUGCAUCAGUUCUGUGUAAAUGAGCUUUUGGAUGGUGAUCAAGUAGGAAUCCCAAAUGGAAAUGCCGCCUGAAAAUAGGUACCCGAUAGCUUCCAAUCCGUAAAUGGUUACAAGAUGCACCGUUUGUUCUUGUUUUGUCUUUGUGAUCAGUUUCCACAUUCUUAAAUUUUUGUCUCUCUUUUCUUUUUUCCUCCUUUUUGGUUGACUAAACAAAUUAUUCUAUGAAAGGUUAGUUAAGAGAUGAGAUUGCAUAUCCUUUUAAGUUCUGAUUCAUUUUAGCCUUGUGUCGGUAAGAGAACUAUUAAGUGGUAACUUUUACUUAUGAAUUGUUGAGUUUUGAUUCAAAUGAAAUACGAGUAUCUCUUUACAGGUAAGGAUGCAAUCAUUAUUCUUAUGUUUGUGAAAAAACCAAACUUAUUUGAUUUGUGUUUAAUGCUAAAAAAACAAAACAAAACAAAACAAAACAAAAACAAAAAAACAAAAUCAUGAUUGAUGUCAUCUGAAGAAGCCAAUAAAUUUGAGUGUUGCUAUUUCUACCCCCUUCCUAUUUCCCCACACACCUUAUCUUUCUACCCACCAUGUAAAUUUUUGAAAACACAAUUCUAUCUUUCCAUCUUAUGUUGUACAGACAUGGACACAGGGACAUGAACACGGCAAUUAAAAUAGUAAUAAAUUCUAAUAAAAUUCUAAUAGUAUAUGCUUAUAUAUAUAUAUAUUUUUUAAAUCUUGCUCAAAACUUCAAUGUCAUAAUACCAUAAAAAUAAAUUCAUACUCAUUUGAGUUAACUUAGCAUUACUCAUCUUUCCCUAAACAAAAUAAAGAGUGAUACACAUAUUCAUGAUUCAUCAUAAACCAAAUUUCACACAGUUUUCGUAUAUCUAUCAUCUUCAAAAUAAGGAAAACAAUUUCCCACUUCAUAAAAUAAAAAUCGAGUUUGCAUAAAUAAAUAAAUAAAUAAUAAAAAAUAAACAAAGUGAAUGAAUUAUCCACUCAAAAAGAUGCUUUUCCCACGACCAAAUUGCUUUCAAUAUCCUUAAUCAACUAAAAAUAUCUGCUCUACAUAUUUUAAAUAAAAACUUUUAAAAAUUAUUUUAAAUAUGUCCUCAUAUUUUCAAUAAUUAUGUUUUGACCCCAGUUGUUAUUUUGUAAUUUUCAAAAUGAUCCCUGCCUUGCCGUGUCUUGACUUCAGUUAACCAUGUCUAAAAGUGUCUUGAUCAUAUCCAAAAUGUGUCUUGACCGUUGACCUGUGUUCAAGCCUUGUCCGAGGUGUGUCCGCGUGUUUGACACUCCGACACGUCGGCCUGAUAGAGUGUCGUACUAUAUAGUUUUCACCCACCAUUAUUCCUAAAAUACUCUUUAAUUAUUAAUUCAAGCAUAUUCUCAAUAAAAAUAAAAUUAAAGCCGAGUUGGUGACAUUAGUAAGUUGGGUGUGCUAAAUAAGCAAUCCCUCCUGCACCAUGGCUUUCUAUCAUGCUUAUUAUUCAUUUAGUAUUGUAUGGGAUAAAGCCUAACCAUAGGCAAAGGAUUAACGGCCCCUUUGUUGGGACUGCUGGCAAUCACCUUGGAUAAGCAAUCCCAUAAAAAUGCCAGGAAUUAAUAAGCCUACUUUUAAUUAAUUAUAGAUCUCGUUAUUUCUUUCAACCUUGUAAAAGAGAUGGAGAUCAAUUGAGAUGGGCAUGAGACGUGAGGUUACAGACCUUAGAAAAGUUAGGGUUAAUUUCAAUUUUAAUUUUAGUGAAAACUGUUUUGAGAAAUGAAUAAAAUAAAAUAAGUGGGUUAUGUAAGUGGAGGUUUUUUUUCUUAAAUUCUUAUAAGUCAUUUUAUAAAGAGAUAAAUUUGUCCUUAAAUUUUAAAGUUAAAGUAAGUGGAAAAAUAAGAUAUGAAAUGGAAAUAGCAGCACUUACAAAUUUAGAGGGAUAAUAUAACACAAACUCCGAUGUGUGCAAAGCCCAAUAUUUGGUGUUUUUGACAAAAACCAGCCACAGUAAAUUAAGUCUGCUCUGUCUCUGCUGGACCAAAGUCCUUCUUCUCCACACCCUUUUCCUUCAAAAGACUGAAAGUGGCCACCAUUUUGAAAAUGAACACACACCAAACUUGGAACCCAAACAAGUGCACAAGAUGCUCUUUGACUGUCUGAUUUGUCCAAUUGGUGCUGCCACAAAACUGCAAAACCAUCCAAUCUGAAAUUAUGAAAAUUAUGAAAAUCAUGCAGAGAGAGAGAGAGAGAGAGAGAUCAAAUAGGGGACCAUUUGUCAUUAAAUUAAUAUAAUUUUUUAUUCAUUUAUAAUAUGCAAUAAGUUAUUUUUCUUCUCCACAUCAGUGUCUGCUCGCGAUUCCCAAUGGAGGAGGGGAGGUAAAGGCUAAAGAAAGUGGGAGAAGCAAAGAAGAAUUAUUGGGGAAAAUAUGUCUGUUUGCUUGCUGGGUUUGGUGGUAUUAUAAUAUAGCUAGCCAGGUACAAGUAUUAUAAAUGUGGCUGUGGGGAAGAAGAUAAGGAACCAGUGAUAAUGCAAAGUUAAAAAUCCCACCCAACAGCAAGAUCUCUC
rnacentral:lncRNA from 1 species